rnacentral:lncRNA from 10 species
UUCACAUCUUAGGAUCAUGGUGGUUUGUAAACAGAUAAGAAAGUUUGGAGUUGCCCAGAAAGAAAGCAUAGUCAUGCUUCACCAAUCCAGUGCUCACUUAUCCAUGUCAGCUCUUUAAGUCAUGUCUGAGAUCCCUGAGACUGCACAGGAAGCAUGGAACAGCAUCUGCUUGGAUUCUGGGGAGGCCUCAAGGAGCUUUUACUCAUGGCAGAAGGUGGAGCCAUCUCACAUGGCAGAGCAGAAGCAAGAGGGGGCCUGGAAAACAUAUCGGGAGAAUAAUCAAGGAAAACUUCCUCAGCCUUGUGACAAAUCUAGACAGCCAAAUACAAGAAGCACAAAGAACACCUGAGAAAUUC